UUAACAAUCAUAAUAAAUUAGUCAGAUUAUCUCCAAGAUAAAUCAAAUAACCUCCAAUCCGUUGUAUCUCUUGUCCAGUCAACAUCGGAAUAUGCCUUUAGCUCCAUCGACUGUAUAUUUAAAAUUUUGACCCAUGCAAAAAGAGUGUCGGAGUGAUUUCGCAAGAUCCUUAGCAAUUAGGGGUGAGAUUCCCCGUCCCCGGCAAUUUCCGGAUUCAGGG
rnacentral:lncRNA from 1 species